UAGCAGCACGUAAAUAUUGGCGUAGUGAAAUCAGUCUGAAACCCCAAUAUUACUGUGCUGCUUUA
ensembl:miRNA mdo-mir-16-2 mdo-mir-16-2